AGCAAAGCAGUCAUGUUUUAAAUGUGGUCUGUGUACUGGUGCCAGACGGUGAACUUUGCCACCAGCUUUUGAUGGGAUAAAUACAAACAGGCAGGGCUUGUGGCAGCAGAGAUGAUCAGUAAGAAUCUGGGUCUCCCGAAAAUGAGACGACGUUAAGCAGUCUGUGCUAAGCUGUACAAUGCUGUACAAGUUUGGAGGAGGAAGUAUCGGAGUAGACCAGACGACGAAGAAAGGCUUCUUAAGAGAGAGAGGCCUUGAAGAGUCUGAGGAUUCAGAUAAGAAAACAGGGAACAUGAUGGCACUUUAGGCAGGAUGGGAAUAUCGUAGGUAAAGACAGAAUUAAGAGGCCUUAAGGUAGGAGUAAAGGUUCUAUAUUGGGGAGGAAUGGAAUUACAGCUGCCAGAAUGAGAGUUUGAUUUCUUUAUACAUGUCACAAUGAUAAGUACUUAUAACAGGGAACCUACCAUGUGCCUGCCAGGGGCUUUCAUAAAAAAUACCACCAAUCCUCAUGCUAUCCUUGUGAAACAGGUGUUAUUUUAGAUGUACGAAAACUGAGGCUUAGAGAAUUAAGGAAACAUGCCCAAGGCAACACAGCUAAUAGGUGGGUAAACUGGGAUUCAAACCUAGGUUGGCCUGAUUCUGAAGCCUGAGGUUCCCUUUCUAUUACUCCAUGCCACCUCCUAAUGGGCCAGAGAGCUUUCCACAUUAUCAGCCUGAUGCUUCUGUCUGAAUCUCCUCCCAGCUCAAAUGGGGACUUUUGGUCAGACAGCAAGAGCAGCUGACUUUUCUAGCUCUAACCCUCUAAGGUCUGGGGACCCUAAAUCCCUGAGGACUAAGUAAUUUCAAGGAAACUGUUCUGUGUGGGCCCUGUGAGCACAGGCUGGCCUCUGUAUUUAGGCCUGCUUUGGAUCUCACAGAAUCUCCCUUUAGUUACUGCAGCAAAGCUGGUGGCAAGUACAGCCUAAGAAAACCGGAUGGGGCUGGGCGCGGUAGCUCAUGCCUGUAAUCCCAGCACUUUGGGAGGCCGAGGCGGGCGGAUCACCUGAGAUCGGGAGUUUGAGACUAGCCUGACCAACAUGGAGAAACCCUACCUCUACUAAAAAAAAUACAAAUUUAGCUGGGUGUGGUGGCACACGCCUGUGAUCCUAGCUACUUGGGAGGCUGAAGGUAGGAGAAUCGCUUGAAGGCGGAGGUUGUGGCAAGCCGAGAUCGCGCCAUUGCACUCCAGCCUGGGCAAUAAGAGCGAAAAUCUGUCUCAAUUAAAAAAAAAAAAAAAAGCCAGCCAGAUGGGCAGGAAGGUAGGCUCCCUUGCCUUUCCUGAAACCCUUUGGAGAGGGUCAGCUGAGGUCAAAAGACUCUGGAAAUAUUACUGGCAACAGCCCCUAGAAUGAUAGAGCAGGAUCCUGCCUCUCGGUUGGCUGGUCACACACACAGGCAGACCAAGGGAGGUCAAGGGGGAAGGGAGGUCAGAAGUUGGCAGCCUGCAGGCCCUGAGUGACGGCAACUUGUUCAGGGUUGGGAGGGAGAAAUAGUGGGUUAAUGGUUUUGGCCCUUGAGGCUGGGAGGCUAGGGCAAGGGGUGUAAAUGUAUGCUGGCUAAAAAGGCAGGUGGGAGAAAUGUAAAGGUGGGGGCUAAGGGCAUCUGUUCCAAGUCAACAGGCAGGAACCAUGCCCCUGGAACGGCUCAAAGGGCCAGCCUUGGCCUGGGGGUGAGGAUAGAGGGAGUUUCAUAAAAGGCCCUCGUCUUUUCAUUUCAAAGGUGUUCGAUCUAGAAGGCUAGGAAGAGGGGCUCCUUAUAAAGUGAAUUCUCUUGUCUGGGGGUUGGGGGAAGCAGAGAAUGUAAACUACUGGACAAUAGCUGGGAGUAUUGAUUGAUUUUAAGGCACGGCAGAGAUAAUGUCCUUGGUGAACACUCCAAUUCUUAGCUACAAAUGUCUUGCCACAGAGUUUUCCAACGGACAAAGGAAGAAGCUUUCUGCUUGGGGAUGUUUUCUAAGUCUCUGCUUCUGAGAACAGCAAGUUCUCGCUCCAGAAGCAUCAGUCAUCCCAAGAACUGCUGCCACAUCCACAAGUAGUCCUGCCCUUCAGUGGCUGUGCCCUAGAACAAAGCAUAUUCUGGCUGCUCUGGGGCAGGUCCCUUGUAGGCUUGGGGAUACAGGCCAGGCCUGGGUUUUAAGCUAGCAUGGCUGUGGCUGACAGAAAGUGGCAAGAUUACGUGCGUGUUCCUGGGAAGUUCCCAGAGGCCAAUGAGAAGAUGAUCUGGGGAUGCUGGGCCUGUGGAGGCAAAGGCUCUGGGACUGAAAGAACUUUCUUUGAAGACUGGUAUUUGGAAAAGUGACUAGGUAGCAAAAGACAGUUGGCAUAAGUUAUAGAGAAGACCACAGCUCAUUAAAAAGAUGUUUCAACCAUGCCGGGCGCAGUGGCCCAGCACUUAGGGAGGCUGAGGCGGGUGGAUCACCUGAGGUUGAGAGUUCGAGACCAGCCUGACCAACAUGGAGAAACCCUGUCUCUACUAAAAAUACAAUAUUAGCCAGAUGUGGUGGAACAUGCCUGUAAUCCCAGCUACUCGGGAGGCUGAGGUAGGAGAAUUGCUUGAACCCGGGAGGCAGAGGUCACGGUAAGCCAAGAUUGUGCCAUUGCACUCCAGCCUGGGCAACAAAAGCAAAACUCCGUGUCCCAGAAAAAAAAAAAAAAAAAAAAAAAAAGGUUUCAACCAGUCUCCCUGGGGAAGAAGGAGGUUCCUUCUGUCUCUGAAAAAUGUCAGCUAGCCAGCUGUUGGAGAGGGUUCUGCUGGAAGAGAGGCAGGCAAUCAUCAGAGUGGCCCAGAGACCUUUGAGGACCUUUCCAGUGCUCAGGUUCUAUGAAGAAUGAUCCCAACAAGGAAGACCCUGGGGUCUAGCCCCAAGAGAGGAUCCCUGGCCCUCAAAAAGCACCAGAGGAGGCAUGAACAGGCAGUCAUGUGCC